AUCCAUCUGUCGAGUCCUAAAUAGGACGAAAUGUGUCUUCAACUGGAU
rfam:Schistosoma haematobium scaffold163_72, whole genome shotgun sequence.